rnacentral:rRNA from 1 species
UACGAAGGGGGCUAGCGUUGCUCGGAAUCACUGGGCGUAAAGCGCACGUAGGCGGACUCUUAAGUCGGUGGUGAAAUCCUGGAGCUCAACUCCAGAACUGCCUUCGAUACUGGGAGUCUCGAGUCCGGGAGAGGUGAGUGGAACUGCGAGUGUAGAGGUGAAAUUCGUAGAUAUUCGCAAGAACACCAGUGGCGAAGGUGGCUCACUGGCCCGGUACUGACGCUGAGGUGCGAAAGCGUGGGGAGCAAACAGG